GAUGAACGCUGGCGGCGUGCCUAAUACAUGCAAGUCGAGCGAACGGACGAGAAGCUUGCUUCUCUGAUGUUAGCGGCGGACGGGUGAGUAACACGUGGAUAACCUACCUAUAAGACUGGGAUAACUUCGGGAAACCGUAGCUAAUACCGGAUAAUAUUUUGAACCGCAUGGUUCAAAAGUGAAAGACGGUCUUGCUGUCACUUAUAGAUGGAUCCGCGCUGCAUUAGCUAGUUGGUAAGGUAACGGCUUACCAAGGCAACGAUGCAUAGCCGACCUGAGAGGGUGAUCGGCCACACUGGAACUGAGACACGGUCCAGACUCCUACGGGAGGCAGCAGUAGGGAAUCUUCCGCAAUGGGCGAAAGCCUGACGGAGCAACGCCGCGUGAGUGAUGAAGGUCUUCGGAUCGUAAAACUCUGUUAUUAGGGAACAACAUAUGUGUAAGUAACUGUGCACAUCUUGACGGUACCUAAUCAGAAAGCCACGGCUAACUACGUG
rnacentral:rRNA from 1 species